GAUGGACGUGUCACAGUUCUCAUGGGACUCUGCACAAUGAGGGGGCCUGGGAGAGGGUGUUUCUGAGACCACAUCAUUGCUCAGGGUGGCACUGUCCACCUGCACCUCUCUCAUGUGUACUCCAGCCCGGAGGUGGUGGCAGAACUCUGGGUGCUGCUGACAGCUUCCUGGCAAGAUGCUACCUACUGCUAAGAGAAAAAGACAAGGCUUGAGAAAUCAAGGGCUGACCAAAUCAUGUCCUGCUUGGACAGUAUCUCCUGACAAGUCCCUGAGGAGACAGAGGACACCAAGAGGCAGCUCAGUACUAAAGAAAAAGGAGAAAUUUUUCUAGGAAGGAGCCUACCAGAUGACUUGAUUGGAAUGAAAUGGCACAAGGAAAAAUGCCACCAAGUUUGAACAGGGAAUUGACAUAAGAUAUCUGGAUUUUUUGGAUAGCUAUCUUCUUUUCCUGAGAGUCACCUCAGCAUCUUUACUGAGUCUGAGUAAUUCACACAAACAGGAUUGACUGGACAAAUCAGAAGUAAAAAGCUGCUUUUUCACGAAUGGACUAAUUAUAUAAAAAUCAGCAUUUCUCAAGACAAAAAAGCAGAUGAAUAAAAAUAAAUGUGCAUCCUCUUAUGAAGCUUAGGUCAUGUUGUGUUUUGCUCAGACUUUAAGUUCUUUGAAGUGUGGAGCUGUGGGGGAGAUUAAGAUUUACAAAUCUGUAGGCAUUUAAACCCCUCUGAAACAAUGACGAGGCAUUCACAAGGAAGGUUGAAAUCAGACAACCCAUAAUACUUGAUGUAGAAAAUGUUCCAGCUUCCAUAAUUCUUUAUUAAAUAUUUGACAGGUUGCAUCACUUCUUUACAAUAACUUCAUUUUCUCACAUUAGUCUUUUGCUGUCAGGAAAACAAGCUACAUUUUUCUCUUUAGAUCUCCCGAGAAAAAAGUAAAGCAAGAAGGAUUUGUUCUUUCAACAAAACUUUCCCUAUGUCUAUCAAAUUCGACCGUACUUUAAAGCUAUUCUGACAGUGAAAAUGAGCAUUAUCUGUAAGUUGUCUUUAAAAAAACUUCCAGGUAGUUUGGUUUUGACCACUGUAUCAAAUAGUACUUGGCUUCAUGUUAAGGAGGUGGGUUUAUAAUAAAAAGUUAUGAAACACUGAGAAUUCAUUUGGAAUGCUUGAAACUCUUUUACCUUAAAAGUCACUGUUUUUUUCCAUGUUUUAUUUGGUAGUAGACAGAUCCUGAAUUAAGAAAGGACAGCAAAUUAACAUCGUCUUCCUAGGGAUCUCUCAGGCUCUGAGUGCUAGAAUUUUCAGAACACAGCUUGGAGAGAAAACUGCUGAAGGGACCAAGCUCUUAUUCCCUUUUGAAACCAGAUUACUCAAUAAAGAUGUAAAAAUGCUAUAUAAAUAUAUACACAGACAUUUGGACAGCAUAUGUACGUAUAUAUAUUACACCAUAGUGAAGGGGGAACAAAGUCACACUAAGUGGACAUGAAGGAAACGGUGACAAUCUAGGUGACAUUAGUCUGAGUAGGAGCAGCGACUGGCUUAUUCAGGAACAGGUAUCUAUAGACAUGGGGUUAUGGUUACCAGAAAGGCUUUGAUGUGUGGGUACAAAGUUGAGUACACCGGAGUGCAGGAGCCAAAGGCCAUGUCCUCAGACUCCCAUUGCUACUCCUCACAAACAUAAAA